GGUUGAUUACUGAGCUACUAGUAAGUUGAAGAAAUUCUUCAGGAAACAGCAGGAAAAGGCAGACCUUUCUGGCUCCCUCUUUUUCUCCAAAUCAAGCUGUAAGAGCCCUCAUUUGAGAGAUGCCAUUCUAGAAGAAAUGCCUGGAGUUUGCUCUCAGAAGACACAGUGAGCUAGCAGGUCUUGCUCACUUUCCCAGUGUGUUAUCAUUAGACCACACUCUGUUACUGCCAAUCAUAUACAUAUUAUUUCUUACAACUGUCUACUGUUUAUCAAACUGGAACACAGACAUUCACAAGCCUACUUGUCCUCUUGACUAUUUCUUUCUUCUCAAAAGUUCCCAUGUUGUGCAUAUUAAAUCAAUGCGAGCACUUUAUUCUUGCUUAUCUCUGUUUACUCUUUAUGUCUUCUUCUGUAGCACUGCAAGCAUGAGACUAGUGAUGGGUGAGGAAGAAGCCUUAAUUUCCUCUGCUUUACUAAGGAACAGAGCUGUGCCAGUUUGAGGACACAGCCUGCAACCUUUAUUCUUGUUCUCUGGUUGCCAUGCUGUAACGACAUUCAAGGGACACCACUGAAUGACGAAAGGACAUGAGGAUAAAGAAAAGGACUCUGUGGAUUUACAGGCUAGAUUUCUAAGCGCCGAUCUGAAUCCGGCCAUGUGAGUGACUUCAGCUCUACCACAAGAGACAGAAACUGACAUUGCUCCCUAGUCAGCCAGCAGAUGACCCACUGGAACCAAUUUGCCAUUUUGAUAGUUAAGACAUCGUUGAUUUAAGCCAUUACAUUUCAGAGGCAGUCAAUUUACAUCUCGUAAAGUGACUACAACCGUGUGUCACUUAACCACAGAGGCCCACACCAAGAAAUAUAUUAAGUGAUUUUGUCUUUGUAGGAACACCAUAGAAUAUACACCCACACCACUUUGUAUGUGUGUGUGCCCUUGAACUAUGAGCCAGUAUAAACCACCUUUCCCUUAACUCUCUUUUGUCAGGAUAUUUUCUCAUCCCAACAGGAAAAGAAAACAAGACAACAUCUUAUUCUCUGCAAACUGUGAAAGAAGACUUCAGGUG
rnacentral:lncRNA from 1 species